GAUGAACGCUAGCUACAGGCUUAACACAUGCAAGUCGAGGGGCAGCACAGUGUAGCAAUACACGGGUGGCGACCGGCGCACGGGUGCGUAACGCGUAUCCAACCUUCCCGUUACUCUUGGAUAGCCUUCCGAAAGGGAGAUUAAUACAAGAUGGUAUUCAGAUUCCGCAUGUUAUUUGAAUUAAAGAUUUAUCGGUAACGGAUGGGGAUGCGUGACAUUAGAUAGUAGGCGGGGUAACGGCCCACCUAGUCUACGAUGUCUAGGGGUUCUGAGAGGAAGGUCCCCCACACUGGAACUGAGACACGGUCCAGACUCCUACGGGAGGCAGCAGUGAGGAAUAUUGGUCAAUGGGCGGAAGCCUGAACCAGCCAAGUAGCGUGCAGGAUGACGGCCCUACGGGUUGUAAACUUCUUUUGUUUGGGAAUAAAUGAUACUACGUGUAGUAUUUUGCAUGUACCUUACGAAUAAGCAUCGGCUAAUUCCGUG
rnacentral:rRNA from 1 species